CGGGGCAACCUGGCGGCGAGCGGCGAACGGGUGAGUAAUGCAUCGGAACAUGUCCAUUCGUGGGGGAUAGCCCGGCGAAAGCCGGAUUAAUACCGCAUACGCCCGAGAGGGGAAAGCCGGGGACCGCAAGGCCUGGCGCGAAUGGGUUGGCCGAUGCCCGAUUAGCUAGUUGGUGAGGUAAAGGCUCACCAAGGCGAUGAUCGGUAGCUGGUCUGAGAGGAUGAUCAGCCACACUGGGACUGAGACACGGCCCAGACUCCUACGGGAGGCAGCAGUGGGGAAUUUUGGACAAUGGGGGCAACCCUGAUCCAGCCAUUCCGCGUGAGUGAAGAAGGCCUUCGGGUUGUAAAGCUCUUUUGUCCGGAACGAAACGGUUUGCGUGAAUAGCGCCGACUACUGACGGUACCGGAAGAAUAAGCACCGGCUAACUACGUGCCAGCAGCCGCGGUAAUACGUAGGGUGCGAGCGUUAAUCGGAAUUACUGGGCGUAAAGCGUGCGCAGGCGGUUUUGUAAGCCAGAUGUGAAAGCCCCGGGCUUAACCUGGGAAUGGCAUUUGGGACUGCAAGGCUGGAGUGUGGCAGAGGAGACUGGAAUUCCUGGUGUAGCAGUGAAAUGCGUAGAUAUCAGGAGGAAUACCGAUGGCGAAGGCAGGUCUCUGGGCUGACACUGACGCUCAUGCACGAAAGCGUGGGGAGCAAACAGGAUUAGAUACCCUGGUAGUCCACGCCCUAAACGAUGUCGACUGGUUGUUGGGGGUUUGACACUCUCAGUAACGAAGCUAACGCGUGAAGUCGACCGCCUGGGGAGUAC
rnacentral:rRNA from 1 species